GAGGAAACUCAUCUGAAUCAUUGCCGACCAUGCAACAUAGUACUAUCCUUGGAGACUAAUGUUAUGAAAGAUUGUUUACAUGAUGCCAUUUGACUUGAAACUUGAAUUAUUGCAGUAGUUACUCAUUUUGGUUUAUCUAAAAAGUAAAGUGAUUCCUAAAACUGCUGCGAAUAUUGCUAGUGAUGCAAGCAACAUGGGGUUAUUGCAUUACAGUAAGAUGCAAUUCAAUACCCUUUUCCUAGUUUCUUGCAUCACUAACAAUGAUCGUAGCAGCUUCACCUUUUAAAGAAAACAUAAGUGAGUAGUUAUUGUAUUCAAGCUUCAACUCAAAUGGCAUCAUGCGAACCAUUUGUCAUUUUGUCGUAACAUUAAUCACCAGGAUAGUACUACAUUGCAUGGUCGGCAAUGAUACAGACGAGACUGGUCCCUA